rnacentral:tRNA from 1 species
CGCGGGAUGGAGCAGUCUGGUAGCUCGUCGGGCUCAUAACCCGAAGGUCGUUGGUUCAAAUCCUUCUCCCGC